GACGAACGCUGGCGGCGUGCUUAACACAUGCAAGUCGAACGGAAAGGCCCUGCUUUUGUGGGGUGCUCGAGUGGCGAACGGGUGAGUAACACGUGAGUAACCUGCCCUUGACUUUGGGAUAACUUCAGGAAACUGGGGCUAAUACCGGAUAGGAGCUGGUGCUGCAUGGUGGGGGUUGGACAGUUUAGGCGGUUGGGGGUGUACUCUCGGCUUACCAGCUUGUUGGUGGGGGAGUGGCUUACCAAGGCUUUGGUGGGUAGCCGGCCUGGGAGGGGGGCCGGCCACAAUGGGACUGCGGUACGGCCCAGACUCCUACGGGAGGCAGCAGUGGGGAAUAUUGCACAAUGGGCGGAAGCCUGAUGCAGCAACGCCGCGUGCGGGAUGACGGCCUUGGGGUUGUAAACCGCUUUCGCCUGUGACGAAGCGUGAGUGACGGUAAUGGGUAAAGAAGCACCGGCUAACUACGUG
rnacentral:rRNA from 1 species